CCUACGGGGGGCAGCAGUAGGGAAUGUUGCUCAAUGGGGGAAACCCUGAAGCAGCAACGCCGCGUGGAGGAUGAAGGUGUUCGGAUUGUAAACUCCUUUUGUUAGAGAAGAGAAUGACGGUAUCUAACGAAUAAGCAGCGGCUAACUCCGUGCCAGCAGCCGCGGUAAUACGGAGGGUGCAAGCGUUACUCGGAAUCACUGGGCGUAAAGAGCGCGUAGGCGGGAUAGCAAGUCAGAUGUGAAAUCCUCUGGCUUCACCAUAGACCUGCAUUUGAAACUGUUAUUCUAGAGUAUGGGAGAGGUAGGUGGCAUUCUUGGUGUAGCGGUUAAAUCCGU
rnacentral:rRNA from 1 species